AACGAACGCUGGCGGCAGGCCUAACACAUGCAAGUCGAACGCUCCGCAAGGGGAGUGGCGCACGGGUGAGUAACACGUGGGAACCUACCUUCUGGUACGGAACAACCAAGGGAAACUUUGGCUAAGACCGUAUACGACCUCCGGGUGAAAGAUUGAUCGCCGGAAGAGGGGCCCGCGUCCGAUUAGGUAGUUGGUGAGGUAACGGCUCACCAAGCCUUCGAUCGGUAGCUGGUCUGAGAGGAUGACCAGCCACACUGGGACUGAGACACGGCCCAGACUCCUACGGGAGGCAGCAGUGGGGAAUAUUGGACAAUGGGCGCAAGCCUGAUCCAGCCAUGCCGCGUGAGUGAUGAAGGCCUCGGUUG
rnacentral:rRNA from 1 species